rnacentral:rRNA from 1 species
UGCGUAGGUGGUUUCUUAAGUCAGAGGUGAAAGGCUACGGCUCAACCGUAGUAAGCCUUUGAAACUGGGAAACUUGAGUGCAGGAGAGGAGAGUGGAAUUCCUAGUGUAGCGGUGAAAUGCGUAGAUAUUAGGAGGAACACCAGUUGCGAAGGCGGCUCUCUGGACGGUAACUGACGUUGAGGCUCGAAAGCGUGGGGAGCAAACA